GGAAACAGAUGCUAAUACCGCAUAGAUCCAAGAACCGCAUGGUUCUUGGCUGAAAGAUGGCGUAAGCUAUCGCUUUUGGAUGGACCCGCGGCGUAUUAGCUAGUUGGUGAGGUAAUGGCUCACCAAGGCGAUGAUACGUAGCCGAACUGAGAGGUUGAUCGGCCACAUUGGGACUGAGACACGGCCCAAACUCCUACGGGAGGCAGCAGUAGGGAAUCUUCCACAAUGGACGCAAGUCUGAUGGAGCAACGCCGCGUGAGUGAAGAAGGCUUUCGGGUCGUAAAACUCUGUUGUUGGAGAAGAAUGGUCGGCAGAGUAACUGUUGUCGGCGUGACGGUAUCCAACCAGAAAGCCACGGCUAACUACGUGCCAGCAGCCGCGGUAAUACGUAGGUGGCAAGCGUUAUCCGGAUUUAUUGGGCGUAAAGCGAGCGCAGGCGGUUUUUUAAGUCUGAUGUGAAAGCCCUCGGCUUAACCGAGGAAGCGCAUCGGAAACUGGGAAACUUGAGUGCAGAAGAGGACAGUGGAACUCCAUGUGUAGCGGUGAAAUGCGUAGAUAUAUGGAAGAACACCAGUGGCGAAGGCGGCUGUCUGGUCUGUAACUGACGCUGAGGCUCGAAAGCAUGGGUAGCGAACAGGAUUAGAUACCCUGGUAGUCCAUGCCGUAAACGAUGAAUGCUAGGUGUUGGAGGGUUUCCGCCCUUCAGUGCCGCAGCUAACGCAUUAAGCAUUCCGCCUGGGGAGUACGACCGCAAGGUUGAAACUCAAAGGAAUUGACGGGGGCCCGCACAAGCGGUGGAGCAUGUGGUUUAAUUCGAAGCAACGCGAAGAACCUUAC
rnacentral:rRNA from 1 species